ACAGAAGGCGGUGCUUAUUAUUUGUUGUCAUGGCGGCAUUUAAAACAGUUUUAGCUGUGAUUAGCUUGCUAGCUAGCUGUCGAAGUCUAUCCCGUACAAAUAGUAUCCUAGCUAAAUAUUUUCACUUUCUUUACAUGAUAAUAUUCGAAGCAUAUUGUACCAUCUGGUUGCAUGGCUAGAUACGUACUGAAAUGUUAGGCAAGGGUUUGCAAAAUGUAUCAAAGCUAACGUUAGUUAGCUAUCUAGGCAGGUAGCUAGGUAUACAGGCUACAGCUGAUGUAGAUACACCGGUAAUUAGCUAGGGGAUUUAGGAACAGCCAUGACUGCAAACCUAGAGUUCCCGAUGGCCUAGGACAAUCGAAAAGCUGGGUCACAUUAGGUCCAAAUCGAAGCACUCGGCUUUUUCAGACCCAGUUACUCUUCAAUGCAGCCAUGCCUCCCAACGCCUAUGACCGUGCUAGCCAAGUUGGCCCAGCUGCACCCAUUGUGAUUGAGAAGCUGAUGCCCUGGGUAGAGGAUUGGGAUAACUGGAUAGCACCUGCAGCUCUCUGUGUUUCUCUGCUCUGUCUGAGGUGCGGCCAAGAGAGAUCUGAGGAAGAGACGACAGGAGUCAUUGAACAGCUCCCCCAUCAGACCACAGCCAGAGGAGACCACUACCAUCAAGAGCAAUGUGGAGCAAGUAAAUAAGGCUCACUCCCCUUUCACUUGUACAGUUUAUAUCAAUUUUACUCUGCGAUUAAUCAUUCAUCAACCUUUAUAAUCGAUAAUCAACCUUGAUAAUUUUUCAAUUUCAAGCAGAAGAGGGUUUUUCCUAAGGGGAGGUCAAAGACAGGCGGCCCCAAAGAAGAAGUGACUCGGUCUUGAGCCAAGGUACUUGUAUACACCUCCCAGAAGUAUAUCUCUGUACCCCCUGGGCCUGAUCAUGGCCUGUCCCCACCAACCAGAGACCCAGGCCCAAGGCAGAUAGCCAGCCAGGUUCUAUGCCUGUUGUAGUGAUUAUAUUUCUAUGGGUAACACAGCUGGAGUGGCACCUUGUUGGCAUACUGUGCAUUCCAGGGCGAAUGGUUGCAGAGCCCUUGGAGCCUGAUGAGCAGCGCAGGGUGGUGGUCCGCAGACAGGAACAGGCAGCCCACUCUGCACGCAUCAUCUAUGUGCUACAAUAACAGGCGAAAGAGAUCCAAGAGGAUUUAGACAAACUGCGCUCACAGAAGAUUGAUCACACAAACAAAUCCAGAUCGAUGGACAGGUUGGAUGCUGCCCAAAGAGGGGCGAUCAGGGCCAUGCAGAGGUUCACUAAUCAGCUGUCUGACACGUCUGAGGGUAGGAUGCCCUCCCAUUGUAAAGAGCUGGGCCAGGUGAUCCGCCAGCUUUCUCUGUGCUCGGCCAAGGUGGAGGUGGGCCAGGGGUCAGCCAUCCCAGAGACUGCCCUCGACAUCCUGCAGAAACUAGGGACCCUGGAUACUGCUCUCAGGUAGAAGGAGAGUCCAGUACAUAGGAGGCACGCCCAAGCACGCAGUUCCUCCCCUGCACGCUACCGCAGGUCUCCACAUCGCAGCACGUCUCCCCCCCAUCCCCGUGCACCCAGGGGCCCUGCCACCAGGGGUCUCAGAGGACCUCAUAGAGCAGCAGGCCCCAAGAAGUCCUUCCCUUGUGAGCAACGAGCAGGUGUUCUCAUUCUAAUUCUAGCUGAAUGACUCAGCAUUCAGAGACACUCAUUAUCCCAGUCAGCUGUGCUGCUGAAGCUAUUUUAUUAGCAUUUUAAUAAGGAUAGCCUAAUUAUCUAGUCUUUUUUUUAUUGGCUCAUUAUUCCAUAUCCUCAUAACAUCAAUAACUCAUGUAAAUUAAUUUCAUACAUCAUUAAACCGGGAACAACCAACACAGCAAAUGUGUCAGACAAAUCAGCAUCCCCCAUCCUACGGUUGAAACCACAGUCACAGACACAGCCGUUGAUAAAAUAUCUGAUCCAAAAAUAGAACAUUUAUUGCGUGGGUGGAACGAUUCCUGAAAUUGCAUUUUUAAUUUGAGCGUCUCGUGUCUUUGUUGUUUACCCUGUUCUUUCAUUGUGAACGAGGUAGCAGAUUCUUACGGUUCCCAUGGCUCAGGAAAUUACCUGAAGGCUUAAGUGCUGUGUGAGUUUGGGCCUCCCACCGAGCUUGAAUCAUGGCACCAGGGUGGAGAUUAAUGAGGGACUGGCUGACUGACACAAAGAGGGGAGAGCAGGGCCGGCGUCCGGUUCUCUGGCCAUGGGUCUCCUGCAGGCAGCUCAUUGUGUGGGUUGUUAGCUCCUACUGUGUACAGUCUCCCUGUGGGAGAUAUGAUGCAACCACCACACACCACGAGGGUUUGAACUGGAUAGUAUGUGCAGGUCUCCUUGGCAACUAAUAACAGUUCUCACUGUCAAUGAACAAACCCCCUACUGUACCUUCUCCACACUGCUAAACAAGCAGCAGGCAGGUGUCUGUUUGUGUGCUAGUUGGCAAGAUAAUUGUGUAGUCUGUCAAAGGAGCAUGCAGGUGUUAAGGGCCAUACAUACGGGUUUGAUUAGUCAUGCCAAGCACUGUACCACUUAUCUGUAAGGGCCUAUAGAAAUGAUUGAGCACAUAGCCUAGCUGUUCAAGUGUUUCAAAACAACAUUUCAAUAAAAAGUGAUGAUGAGCCAAUGUUGUGAUGUUAGCAAAAUAGGAGAGCGGUCCCUCAGCAUCAGCAGCCACCCAGAGCCACAGAGCCUCCUCCACAGCUGGAUCGCAGACAGGUGCUCAGGGCUGGCCUGGAGAGCCUGGUCCAUCUUAGAGAACUCAGGGAAGGUGGGGUACAGGUCCCCAACAGUCAAGGAGGAGCACUGCUCACCUGAUCUUUGUCCUGCACCCCGACAGGACAAAGAAGCAGGGAGCCCAUGUGAGGGAUGCAGGUUUCCAGCAGCCAACAGUGGCUUCCAGGCUGAGAGUGGGUCAGUACCCAUAGAAGGAGGCCUCUGUGCCCUGGAUACCCACAUCACCUCACUCUCCUCCUAAACAACAACAACAGUGAAGAGACCAGAGCCUCGAUGUCUCUUCUCCCCUCUGAAGCCCUCCUCAGGCACCUCAGAGCAGCAGCUGAGUGGUGUGGUGACAGCAGAGCAGGACUAUUGUCUGACCAGUGAUAGACAGAGACAAUCCCACAACGAAGCCCUCAGAUGGGAGCUGCUGCCUCUCAGACCCGGGACAGAAAGGCCACAUCGUCACUGAGGCAUCGGCUGUCUGAGCAGGCUACAGACAGAGUUGCAGAGUGCGCUGAGGUGCUGAGUGAGGCCCUGCUAGAGGAGCUGCUGGCUGAUGCAGUGCUGGCCACCUGGGUGGCGGAGACAGACAGAUGGAGGGUUUGGCCCAGCGCCAGCUCCAGGCCCCCACCCUGGAAAGCAUGCUGCUACGCAUGGAGGAGAUGGAGAAAGACCAGGAAGUCGUGAGGAGGCACUUUUCUACCAUCACGUACUCAGACCCUCACUGCUGGGACAAAGGGGACACAACUGGGGAGUAAACAGGCCAAGUAACUCCUCCACACAGUUUUGCAUGAGGGUUUGAAUUGUUGUUCCUCUGGUGCACUGCAGGUGGAGGUAUUGUCUUAGUUCUGUUUCAGCCAGUUGAGAACAAGGCUAUCCCUCUUCCUAACUCUCCUUUUCCACCCCUCUUUCUCCCAUCCCCAUCUCUCUCUCAAGGCCCUAGAGGCCUGCUCCAGGCCAGUCUCUCCUCAGCCCGUCAGGAUCACCGGGCCAACACUGAGACACACCACCACGGCUGACAUUGUCCUGGAGAGCCCUGUGGAGACCGGGUGUUUUUUCAUCUGGCGUUGCCAAAGCGCUCUUUUCUCUGAAUAGUCCAAUGCACAGAAUUCAAUAGAACAUUGUGUAUUGUUACAGUAUCUGUAUAUUAAUAUGUUUGUUUUGUAGUAAUCACCAUGCAAUACUGCAGCCACCAUCUUAGAGAAAGCUUCAAGCACUGUCUGAGUUUAAUGGGUUGAUGUAUGGACAGAUGUUGAGAAACAGAUAGAUAUUAAUAAGGAAUAUAUUACA